UUUAAGCAUGAACAAAGUGGAAUUAUUCUUAUUAACACUCAUGAAUGGUCAACUAAAUUUGUUUUUUCAAUCAACGAAAUUGUAAUCUUUAACAUUGUAAGAUAUUGUGAAAACGUAUGGGGUUUAAAGGAUAUUAAUUUUACUUUAAAGUUGAAGGGAUCUGAUACUUAGAAAACCGACCGAAACAGAUCAACGCAGCUGCCAGCUCUUCCAUCGAACCAAAGACCAGAAAGCAGAAACAGAACGAUGAAUUUGUACGCGCAAGAUCUCUCGCUCUUCGAUUACGGGGACUUCGGCGAUCUCAUGAUUCAUCAUCAUGACCGUACAUCAUCAAGAUAUCAUGAGGAUGAUGAUUAUAACAGUAUUAGUGUUGGUAAAAGUACUAGAAAUGAAAGUAAAGCUGUGAAGGCCGACCGUCGGAGUCCGCCGAGGCACCGUCACGACGGCACGUCGCCUUUGCCUCUUGGGAUGGACUGGAGUACUCCUCCUCGCAAAUGGGAUGGGAAGGACUCUGUUUGGCCUCAUGAUCCUCAUACAGGAUGGAGUUAUUGUGUCACUGUUCCUUCUUGGAUUCUCCUGCCAAAACCAAGAGGUUCAGAUCCUGUGGCGUUUUAUAGAGUUCAAGUUGGCAUACAAUCUCCUGAAGGAGUCACCAGCACAAGAGGGAUAUUGAGAAGAUACAGUGAUUUCUUAAAGUUACUUUCUGAACUUCGAAAGACAUUUCCCAGGAAAGAACUUCCCCAAGCUCCGCCAAAGAGGAUAUUGAGAUUGAAAAGUAGAGUGCUGCUGGAGGAGCGAAGGUGUGCUUUGGAAGAUUGGAUGGAAAAACUUUUAUCUGAUAUUGACAUAUCUAGAAGUGCUUCUGUAGCAACAUUUCUUGAGCUAGAAGCUGCUGCAAGGUCUUCAUUUAAUGAUCAGCAAAACUUGGAUGCUCAUUCUUCUAUUAGUGGUGAGGUUUCAUCAUUAUUGUUGCCUACCAACUCGGAUGCUUCUGUGCUUGCUGGUAAUUUGUCUGUUGCUUCAGACUGUGGUAAUGAUUCUCCUGAUGAUAGAUCAGAGUUAGGAACUCCUAGGAUUGGGAGAAACAAUUUUGGUGACCUUGGUCUUGAGUAUUCAACUUCUGAACAGAAUAUCAAUGCUCCAGCAGAGAGAAUUGUUAAGUACGGCAUGUUUAAUCGUAACUUUAUUCUGGAGAACCUAGGAAAAUUUUCAAGGCAAAAAAUGCUUGCUGCAAAAGAAAGCAGUAUUGCGGCUCAAGAUAAACUAACUGAAAAUACAGCUAAACUUAAAUCUCUUCCUUGGGAUGGAGCAGAGCUUUUGCAUGAACCAGAGUAUCUCAAGCUGGAUGGCCAUGUUCGAAGACUGUCCUCUGAGAGUGUUGGGAGUGACCUCAGUUCUGUAAGAGCUAGUGAAAUAUCAAAUUUUGGGCUGUCAAAUUUUUUUGGUGAUGGCUCUUUUGACCAUGCUGAAUUUAGUGAGGCCUCUGGAACCAAGGAUAGUUUUGUUGGAUUAGAUUCUCUGUUUGUGAGGAACUCUCUCAUUGCUCUACCAUCAGAUCAGCGUCUCAAAUUAAACAGGGUUCUUAAUACCAUGCAGCAAAGACUAGCUACUGCAAAAACAGACAUGGAAGAUCUAUUAGCUAGACUAAAUCAAGAAGUCGCUGUAAGACAAUUUUUGAUGACAAAGUUAAAAGAUUUGGAAGUAGAACUUGAAACCACAAGGGACAAUUGCAAAGAAAACAUGCAACAAACAGCUUUAAUUGAAAAAGAAAAAUUUACUCAAAUGCAAUGGGAUUUGGAUGAACUUCAGAAAAAGUGCAUGGUGACAGAGCAGAAAUUGGAAUAUGAACAGGCUGAAAGAGCACGUGUUGAGUCAUCAAAGAUAUCAAUUAUUCAGGAGAAUGAAAUGUUGCUGCAGCAGUUGGAUGCAACUAGGGAACAGCUUGAGAACCUGCAUAAACAUCAUGAAGAGUUCGAGGUGAAAUCAAAAGCAGAUGUAAAGGUUCUUGUUAAAGAGGUCAAAUCACUUCGAAGCUCUCAGUUGGAAUUGAAGCAGGAGCUGAGCCGCUUGUUGAAAGAAAAAUUAGAAGUAGAGUCCAAACUUCUUUUGGUGUCAUGAUCAUGUGGCAAUCUUUCCUUGUAAAUCUUGCUUGGACUAAACGACCUAGAAGGGUCCAUUAGAAAAAUCGUCCAAUGAAUAGCUCAGUAUUCCAGAAAGUUUGAGCAUAUUGAGCAACUAACAGGGAGAAGUUACAGUACCCAAAUGAUGGAUGCCUGAUUGAUACCUGGAAAUCACCUGGCUGGAAAUCCUUUCCUCGGUUCACUCUGUGUCUCAGUUCUGCACUUCUCCCCACUGCAAUUGCCCUUUCUACGAUAGUACAACUUUCAACUCAACACAACACACAACAAUCAAAUGACGCAUACACAAUCAAGUUUCCAGAAUUGUGGUCUGAAUUUCAUUACUGAAUGAAAUGGUCAAAAUUACACCAGAAUCAGAUUAAAGCUUCUUCACAAUUCAUUAAGAUUCUAGUGACUACAGAAAUACAUAAAUAUUCCUAACACAGAUUCUAUGGUUACUUGGCAUUCAGGAGGCCAGCACUCUCCUUCAGUCCCUCUCCACACUUUUCUGAAUUUUUGGCUGCUUUUUCCUCCUCUUCUCUGCUUUUAUGCCCCAUAACAGCCAAGCGUUCCCAUGGAUUACCACAUCCCCUCCCCAAAUCUGGUUGUCCUUGCACCUGUGCAAUUGCCAUCUGCUCCACUCUUUUGCUGCCUUGUGUCCUUGAGACAUUUCCCUUCUUUUGGUUCUUCUUGCGGGAAAUAUAUUUGUGGGUUCUAACAAUGUCACAACAAGACACCAACACCACUAUGUUAAGGUUAAAGGGUUCUUCAAAAGGAAAAGCAACGAAUGGAGCGUGCAAAUUUUGCGAAUUCAAAAUUGCUACAUGAAUGUGAGAUUCUUCGCAAUCGGCUUCAAGAAUGCAGUGUUAAUUUCCUGAGUGAAGAGGAAGAUA